rnacentral:rRNA from 1 species
AUGUGUGCACCAAAAAACCAAGGAGGAAUGGGUUUCCGUGAUAUCCACUGUUUCAACAUGGCUUUGCUCGCCAAACAGGCAUGGAGUCUCAUUGAUAAUCCUGAUUCCUUGUGUGCUACUAUUCUGUGAGCCAAGUACUAUCUUGAUGGCGAUUUGAUGAAGUCCAGGCCAAAGCGUGGCACUUCCUUCACAUGGCGAAGCAUUAUGGCAGGCAUAAAUACCCUGAAAUGUGGCUACAUUUGGUGA